CAGAGGGUAGUUUAAUUUAGAAUCUUAG
rnacentral:tRNA from 2 species